rnacentral:rRNA from 1 species
CUGGGGCCGCCCUACACAUGCAAGUCGAGCGGUAACAGAUCCAGCUUGCUGGAUGCUGACGAGCGGCGGACGGGUGAGUAAUGCAUAGGAAUCUGCCCGAUAGUGGGGGAUAACCUGGGGAAACCCAGGCUAAUACCGCAUACGUCCUACGGGAGAAAGGGGGCUCCGGCUCCCGCUAUGGGAUGAGCCUAUGUCGGAUUAGCUAGUUGGUGAGGUAACGGCUCACCAAGGCCACGAUCCGUAGCUGGUCUGAGAGGAUGAUCAGCCACAUCGGGACUGAGACACGGCCCGAACUCCUACGGGAGGCAGCAGUGGGGAAUAUUGGACAAUGGGGGAAACCCUGAUCCAGCCAUGCCGCGUGUGUGAAGAAGGCCCUCGGGUUGUAAAGCACUUUCAGCGAGGAAGAACGCCUAGCGGUUAAUACCCGCUAGGAAAGACAUCACUCGCAGAAGAAGCACCGGCUAACUCCGUGCCAGCAGCCGCGGUAAUACGGAGGGUGCAAGCGUUAAUCGGAAUUACUGGGCGUAAAGCGCGCGUAGGUGGCUUGAUAAGCCGGUUGUGAAAGCCCCGGGCUCAACCUGGGAACGGCAUCCGGAACUGUCAAGCUAGAGUGCAGGAGAGGAAGGUAGAAUUCCCGGUGUAGCGGUGAAAUGCGUAGAGAUCGGGAGGAAUACCAGUGGCGAAGGCGGCCUUCUGGACUGACACUGACACUGAGGUGCGAAAGCGUGGGUAGCAAACAGGAUUAGAUACCCCGGUAGUCCUUA